rnacentral:rRNA from 1 species
UACGAAGGGGGCAAGCGUUGUUCGGAAUUACUGGGCGUAAAGGGCUCGUAGGCGGCCAUCUAAGUCGGACGUGAAAGCCCUCGGCUUAACCGAGGAACUGCGUCCGAUACUGGAUGGCUUGAGGUUGGGAGAGGGAUGCGGAAUUCCAGGUGUAGCGGUGAAAUGCGUAGAUAUCUGGAGGAACACCGGUGGCGAAGGCGGCAUCCUGGACCAAUUCUGACGCUGAGUGAGCGAAAGCCAGGGGAGCAAACGGG